AGCAGUCGCCGCGGUAAUACGGAGGGUGCAAGCGUUAUCCGGAUUUAUUGGGUUUAAAGGGUCCGUAGGCGGACUUAUAAGUCAGUGGUGAAAGCCUGUCGCUUAACGAUAGAACUGCCAUUGAUACUGUAAGUCUUGAGUAUAUUUGAGGUAGCUGGAAUAAGUAGUGUAGCGGUGAAAUGCAUAGAUAUUACUUAGAACACCAAUUGCGAAGGCAGGUUACCAAGAUAUAACUGACGCUGAGGGACGAAAGCGUGGGUAGCGAACAGGAUUAGAUACCCGCGUAGUCCCUGUCUCUUAUAC
rnacentral:rRNA from 1 species